UGCAUAUAUCCCACAUGACAUGAUCUUCAAAA
rnacentral:scRNA from 1 species